GCAGUAGCCACGGUAAUACGUAGGGUGCAAGCGUUAAUCGGAAUUACUGGGCGUAAAGCGUGCGCAGGCGGUUAUAUAAGACAGAUGUGAAAUCCCCGGGCUCAACCUGGGAACUGCAUUUGUGACUGUAUAGCUAGAGUACGGCAGAGGGGGAUGGAAUUCCGCGUGUAGCAGUGAAAUGCGUAGAUAUGCGGAGGAACACCGAUGGCGAAGGCAAUCCCCUGGGCCUGUACUGACGCUCAUGCACGAAAGCGUGGGGAGCAAACAGGAUUAGAUACCCGUGUAGUCCCUGUCUCUUAUAC
rnacentral:rRNA from 1 species